AGCGAACGCUGGCGGCAGGCUUAACACAUGCAAGUCGAACGGGCACUUCGGUGUCAGUGGCAGACGGGUGAGUAACGCGUGGGAACAUACCUCUUGGUUCGGAACAACACAGGGAAACUUGUGCUAAUACCGGAUAAGCCCUUACGGGGAAAGAUUUAUCGCCGAGAGAUUGGCCCGCGUCUGAUUAGCUAGUUGGUGUGGUAAAAGCGCACCAAGGCGACGAUCAGUAGCUGGCUGAGAGGAUGAUCAGCCACAUUGGGACUGAGACACGGCCCAAACUCCUACGGGAGGCAGCAGUGGGGAAUAUUGGACAAUGGGCGCAAGCCUGAUCCAGCCAUGCCGCGUGAGUGAUGAAGGCCCUAGGGUUGUAAAGCUCUUUUGUACGGGAAGAUAAUGACGGUACCGUAAGAAUAAGCCCCGGCUAACUUCGUGCCAGCAGCCGCCGUAAG
rnacentral:rRNA from 1 species